GCAUUGGUGGUUCAGUGGUAGAAUUCUCGCCUGCCACGGGAGGCCCGGGUUCGAUUCCCGGCCAAUGCA
rnacentral:tRNA from 1 species